UGCGGAAGGAUCAUUAUCGAGUUUUGAACGGGUUGUAGCUGGCCUCUCACGAGGCAUGUGCACGCCUGGCUCAUCCACUCUUAACCUCUGUGCACUUUAUGUAAGAGAAAAAAAUGGUGGAAGCUUCCAGGAUCUCGCGAGAGGUCUUCGGUUGAACAAGCCGUUUUUCUUUCUUAUGUUUUACUACAAACGCUUCAGUUAUAGAAUGUCAACUGUGUAUAACACAUUUAUAUACAACUUUCAGCAACGGAUCUCUUGGCUCUCGCAUCGAUGAAGAACGCAGCGAAAUGCGAUAAGUAAUGUGAAUUGCAGAAUUCAGUGAAUCAUCGAAUCUUUGAACGCACCUUGCACUCCUUGGUAUUCCGAGGAGUAUGCCUGUUUGAGUCUCAUGGUAUUCUCAACCCCUAAAUUUUUGUAAUGAAGGUUUAGCGGGCUUGGACUUGGAGGUUGUGUCGGCCCUUGUCGGUCGACUCCUCUGAAAUGCAUUAGCGUGAAUCUUACGGAUCGCCUUCAGUGUGAUAAUUAUCUGCGCUGUGGUGUUGAAGUAUUUAUGGUGUUCAUGCUUCGAACCGUCUCCUUGCCGAGACAAUCAUUUGACAAUCUGAGCUCAAAUCAGGUAGGACUACCCGCUGAACUUAAGCAUAUCAAUAAAGCGGAGGAA
rnacentral:rRNA from 1 species